rnacentral:rRNA from 1 species
GGAAGGCCUUUGGGUUGUAAACCUCUUUUAUCAGGGAAGAAGAUCUGACGGUACCUGAGGAAUAAGCAUCGGCUAACUCCGUGCCAGCAGCCGCGGUAAUACGGAGGAUGCAAGCGUUAUCCGGAAUUAUUGGGCGUAAAGCGUCCGCAGGUGGUCUUUCAAGUCUGCUGUCAAAGACCAGAGCUUAACUCUGGGCAGGCGGUGGAAACUGAGAGACUAGAGUUCGGUAGGGGUAGCGGGAAUUCCCAGUGUAGCGGUGAAAUGCGUAGAUAUUGGGAAGAACAUCGGUGGCGAAGGCGUGCUACUGGACCGAAACUGAC